UCGGUGGCUUGUUUUUUUUUUUUUGCUAACACGGAAGGGUUCUGUCUCGGGGCUUUGAAUUUCGAUGUUGUAGAUGCAACAGUAUUAUAAGGAAUUGGCGAAUUGCUUUCUGUUGAGCACCUUCUAUAGUAAUUUGAUAGAUUUUACUGUGUCCAGAAUAGUAUUUAAAUAUGUAAAUCAACAUUGAAAUUUGCAGUGUAAUGCCAUCGCUUGAAAUUGGA
rnacentral:misc_RNA from 1 species